GUGCUGUGUUGCAGAAUGAAUAUCUGCCGAAGAUUUUAAGAUGGCUUUAAGAUCCUAGUACCCACAGUGCUUAGACUGACUCAAAGGAAAUCUCCCCUUGUAGAUCUGGCUUUGGAGGAAAGAGAGGCUGCCCUCACCGAAGAUGUCCCUGGGAUUGAUUUCAGAGCUGCAAUCCUGCUGUUGCCGAUCCUGUUCAGGGAGAAAAAUGACAUUCUCAUCAUACUUGGAGAGGAUCAGCCUGGUUGUAGCGCUAUCCUAUUGCAUGCAGAGGGAGUUUGAAAGACAACCGUUUAUCCCGCCCCUCGGAUUGAGCCCUGUCAACGGAGAGUUCCCAGACCCAACAUCUUGAUGUGGUCUGGCCAAGCCUCCAGGAAGAGCGCCAAGUCUAAAAGCCACCAUGGGCUUAGUGGAUAACGGUGGUACUGCACCCCAUGGCCCAGAAAGACUUUUCACAUAGACU